rnacentral:lncRNA from 1 species
CCAGCCACGUGGAACUUGUAUCUCUAGCUCACGGAAAUGGAAGGAAGAAAUGUGAAGUUUAGGAGAUUGGAGCUUCCAGUCUGAGGCUGAUCCAUACAAUACAAGAAGAAAGAGAGCCAGGAAAGGCCAAACAGGAGGGAAUCAAUGCAAGAUUUGAGCCUAUUUUGUGGAAGCCCGCCCAUCAUCAGCCGUCUUCCCUCUCUUCGCCUCCUUGGGUCUCAGGAACUCAGCCUUCAGAAGUCAUGAACUGAAUCUCUCCUCCCACCCCCACAUCCACCAGUCUCUACCAAGAGUGAGUCCUCAGGAAGCAGCCACCACCAUUCGUUAUCACGCGGGGGGACUGCCAAGCAUUCGUACCCAAUCCAGAUACCACCACUGAAAUGAAAGUGCCCUAGUCAGGUCAGUGGGCAGUUCAUUUUCUUUAUUUUUUCACAAGCUUUGAAUUCAGAAAUAAGAGCCACAACAAGUUGGUUGUUAAGUAAAAAUGGGAGUGAUUACAAAGGAAAACUUUGUACAAAACUUUAAAAAUCUGACUGCCCCGUCAACUGCCUCAGAGGGACCAGGACUCAGGCCACGCAGGGGCAGCCAUCACCCCCCCAUCGUCAGCCCCGAAUGGGGAUGGGGAGACCUCUUUCUGAGUGUGAACCUGGCUCGGCCUGAAGCCUAGAGCUGGCUUGAAGAACACACACAGACCAGAAGACAGCACGGUGAGUUACAAGUGCCACGGAGACCAGGGUUUCUGACACAGGAUGUGGAGGAUGCUUCUCUGCAACCUAGUGCAAGGCUUCCCCUGCCAUUCCGAGAAUUCACGGAUCUCACAGGUGGAGGUGGGGCGAGCUUCUUUCUAGUGUGGACCAGAGGUGGGGGCAAUGAGUAAACAUCUUCACUGUAAGGGUUUUGGGACUGCCCCUCAGGGCUUGAGGUCUCGGCAUCGUGUCUCAGUCAGUCCUUGGCGAUGUCCCCUCAGACGCACUCACAGACUUGCAUACGUAAUUUAGUAACAUGCAUCAACUAUCCUAGAACAUCUACAGGGUGCAAAGGAACCACCACUCAGAGAAUCAUGGAGCCAGUGGAGUUAGAAGUGGAAGGGACAGAACAAGACAAUGCUAAAACCUGUGGUUCACUAGGAAGGGGGAAUGAAAACACCAUGCUCCGAGGUGGAUUCAGCAUGAACACAACUGUGGGGCAAGGAAUUUCCAAGCAAACACACCACACUAGUACCACUUCUUCCUAAACAGAAAAGGGAAAGAGCAUCCUUCGACUUCCCCCUCCCUCCAUCAGCACCAACUAAAACUGUGGGUUUCAAAAACACUGACAGGAAAAGGGAUGGACAUGAUUCCCAGAAUCCUUCAGGCUAGCUCCUCCGCGCAUCCGCGUUCAACCGAGGCUGGUGAUGUUGGAGCGGCCACCAGGGGGCGCCACGAUGCGGUGGCCGGUGCGCCUGGGAUUGUUGUCAUCUAUCUGGGCACCUGAAAGAGAGCGCCAAUCGCUGCUGGAUGGGAUCUGUUAACAUCAGUUCCACGCUGCUCCUGGAGGCCAUGUACUCUGCCAUGCACUCCACCUUAGCAGAAGUCGUAACCCCGCCCCAUCUUCAGGUGUUCUCCACUGGACCCACCUUCAUUCAGGGCUCAGUCCAGGACCAGCCAUGGGAAGCCUCCCUGGCCUCCACAGAGUCCACUGCUCCCUCUUCUGUGCCCCUCAGUCCCUGGGCUCUCCCUCCUUCAGCCCUGACCACCUUGUGGUGGUCUUGUCAAAAUCCCCAGUAAAAUCCGACAUUCCUGAGACAGGUGAUCAAACACUUACUGAGUGCCUACUGUGUGCAGGCACACAUUUGGUGCUUUAACAUGUUACUGCAUUUAGGGCACACAAUCAUACUAUGAAGGGGGGUGUUUGUACUCCCAACUUACGGGUGAGCAAUUUGAGGUUCAGGCCACGUGUCUUGGAGGACACAGGUGUUGGGUGGGGAAGCCAGGAUUGAAGCCCAAACUGGUUGGUUUUCAAAGCCCAUGAUCUUAGGCACAGUGUCCCACACUCCAAAAGUAUUUUACUUAUUGUGUGUGUACACAUUUGUAUAUGCAUGUGCAUAUGUGUGUGCACGUGCAUGUGAACUCCGCAAGCUGGAUUUACUUCCCUCAUUGGCAAUAGGUGGAUCUGAAGGGGGGUGUGGUGUGCAGAGGUUCUUAAUUUUAAUCUUUCAAAACCAACCAUCCAUUCUAAUUUUACGUAUUCUCUUGCAUAAAGAUGUAAAAUUCUAGCAGCAAACCCAGUGCCUGGAGCUCAACAAAUAUUUAUUAAAUGAGUAAAUCAUGAAGGGUGGAUAAUGCUGAAAGGUGGGAAGUAUAGAGUCCUUAUCAGGGAGGGGAAGUUGAGCUGGCGGAACUGAGGAAAAGCAAAAAGAGAAAGCAAAUAAGCUGUAAGUCUGCCUUUCUUCAUGGUCUACAACACAGCCUUCCUGCACAAAUAACUCACAGUCUUCCUGUACUCAACUUAUCACCAGACCCUCAGCUAAUAGAAAAACGUAAGAAGUAAGUUAGCUCACUGCAACCACAGCAUUAUCAGUACUGCACAAAGCCCUCUUCGGCACACAGCACAAGCACCAUCGUAUAAAAUCUCCAGCAAGCCUUUGUUUCCUUGCAGUCAGCUCCUUUCUUGCUGACCUACCCACUGUACCCUUUCAUACUUUUUCUAAUACAUCUUUCUUUACCUACAACUGUCUUGGUGAAUUUUUUUUACUAGCUGCAGAACACUGGCCCCAGAUAGUUGUCACCUGCAACAGGAAGGAGACUCAAGUUUCAGUGCUAAUCAUGCCUUGAAUUUGGGCAAUUUGGAGUAAGACACCACCCCACUCCCUUGGCCUCAUUUCCUUUUCUGCACAAUAAGAACAGUAGACUAGAUGAGCCCCUUCCAACUCCAACAUUAUAUGAUUUGUCUAUGUAAGCCACUAAGAAUUUGGUUCAGAGUAGUGACUUUUCUUUUCUCCCAUUGUUUCACUGGUAGACAAUAUGUCUUCUUGCAAUACAAGUCUCCCCUAAAGGCCUGGAAUCAGGCCUAGCACUUAGUAACUUUUUCCUUAUAACCAUCUGUACCUUGCUGGUUGCAUGUCUGUACUUUGAAAAUACCUGCUGGAAAAAAGGACACUAAUAUCGUUUGGACUUUGGUCCCCCAAAACUUCGUGUUGAAAUUUGAUCCCAAAGUUGGAGGUGGGGCCUAAUGGGAGGGGUUUGGGUCAUGAAGGACAGACCACUCAUGAAUGGCUUGGUGUCAGCCUCACAGUAAUGAGUAAAUUCUUGCUCUAUUAGUUCUCGGAAGAACUGGUUGUUAAAGAGCACCUCUGCCUUCUUCCUCUGUUGCCAUGUGAUCUCUGCACACGCUAGCUCUCCUUCGCCUUCUGCCAUGCUGGAAGUAGCCUGAGGCCCUCACCAGAAGCAGACGCUGGCACCGUGCUUCUUGUACAGCCUGCAGAGCCGUGAGCCAAGUAAACCUCUUUAAUUACCCAGCCUCAGGUAAUCCUUUAUAGCAAUGUAAAUGGACGAAAACAGACACUAACUCAUGGUACAGCUCUAUAAUGUAACAUAUGCAGAUAUUAAAAAGGGCAUCUGUGAGGUUGUUAUGAUGUUGGAAAGCAUCUAUGUUGUUGGUACCAAAUGAAGUCACCUAUCAACCUGCCAAGAGGCUGGCUGACAGCAGUGGUGCUGUGGGCCUCAGGAGGACUAAGAGUGAAACUGAGAGAACAAGGGUGGGGAGGGGGCCUUCCAGGUGGCUUUUAACUUCAUUGUUAUUCUUGUUCUAAGAACAACGGGGAGGAGGAUUUUCUGUCCAUGUGUAAUUGCAAUUGUGCAAUGUUUAAUAGCAUAACUCCAGAACAGUGGUCCAGUUUGCAAACUCCUUGAGAGCUUGUGUCUUGUUGCACCCAGACAGCUUUUUCCCAGGAUUGAAGCCAAUCCCUGGUUUGCUGAUUGAGCAUCACAUGACUAUUAGCAUUCUAUUUAGGGUCCAUUCUGUGCAAAAAUAUGAAACACUGGAAGCUCUUCCAUGGAAGUCUUAUGGAGAGUGAGAUGAAUGGGGAGGCCUCCUUGAUUCAUGCCUCCUCGGCAUAAUCACUGAAUCAGACGCUUCCUGAAUGGAUAAGAGGUUCUGCCACCACAUAAUCUAAAUUGACACGUCAUCCUCUCUCUCUCUCUCUCUCUUUGCCCCUUCCACUCUCUCUUUUGCUAAGCAUAUCGCCUUUCCUGACCAGGAAUUAGCAAACGGGUCCAUUGACCAAAUCCAGCCCACCGCCUGUUUCUGUACGAUCCAUGACCUGAGAAUAGUUUGUACAUUUUCAAAUGGCUAUUGAAUAUAACAUCCUAGAUGUUGACAUCCUAGAUGUUGCCUCUUAGCUUACAAAGCCUAAAGUAUUUACUAUCUGGCCUUCUAAGAAAAAAAAUCACCAUAUUCUUAGUACCCAGCACAGUGUGCAACCCAUGCAACGCCUCAAAGAGUUUGCAAGACAAAAUUCCAGUUCAACUUUCUCAAUGUGUGCGUGCCUGCCCUCAUGUGGCCAUCUCACGAAAUCACAGAUACGCUGCCCUGAGACCUUAAGAAAGUCAGGAGGGAUCAGGUCAUCUAAUUUUGUUCCCACACAUUUGUUGAGCACCAAGUCCUGGUAUUUUGACACUGGAUUUUUUGGGGCUUCCGUUUCCUCUUUAAAUAAAUAGGGUAUAAUGUUACUUUAUGGAGUAGUGAGGAUAAAAUAAAAUCGUGGGUUAUGAAAGUGCUGAGUACACUGCAGUGGGUGAACAGGCUAAAGACGUGCGCAGAGCACAUGCCCUGCAAAUGGCAGCUACUCCCAUCUCUUAUUCAUCCCCACCACUCCAUGUUUACUUUCAUGAGGAAGAGUGUGAAAGUGUCCCCAUAUGUGUGUAAGGAUGAGCACUGGGACAAUUUUGGUACCUCUCUUUGUAAACCCAGGUCAGGUACCACCAUGUUGCCCCCCUAACAUGGACCCCCCCCUCUGCUUGGUGACCAUGCCAGCCCACUCUGCCCCACCAGUGAGAACAGGCUCCGGUGGGGCACACUCCCUUCCCUGCUUCUUCAUCUAGUGUCCAAGGCCACGUGUCCAUUUCCUCAGAAGCAGCAGGAAGGACUCGGCCUGAACUGCUGCAAUUGUGGGGAGCCUGGGCCACCACUCUUUCCUACCUGAUAAGCUGAAGUUGGACUGGUGGAGGUUUCUGAUGGGUGGGGGCUGGUGUUUAGAAGGCGAAGAUUUGGCUGAAGGAGCGGGAGUUGCAUAUUUGGGUGUAGCUGGUACCUCGUACACAGGACCGUCAUACAUGCCCCUGGAAACCCCUUGCAAUCCAAAAACCUAAACAGAGGAAGGGAGAGUGUGAUUGAUCGACACUGUGCAUGUGUGCCCUUCUGGGCAGAUAAAGCAGAGCCCUGCGGGCGAGAGAGAAACCUGAGGUCACUUCAAAUGUGCAUGCACACACACACAACACGCACACACAUGACAGAUGCACUUCACACACAUGCACCCGCACACAGGCAUUCAUACACACAAGCAUGCAUACACACACAUCUACAUACCCACAUGCAUACACAUACAGACGCACACACCACGCACACGCACUCACAUACAUGCAGUCAUGCACACAUAUAUGCAUGCAGUCAUGCACACACAUAUGCAUGCACAUGCAGUAACAAAACAUGCCUACACAGUAGCAUACACGCGUGAACACGCACACACACUUAAAACACAUACAGAUCUUCACAAAGGCAUACUCUCACAUAUGUAUACACAUGCAUACAUGCCCACACACACACUGAUACAGGUAUACACACCCGUAUAUACACUUACACACAUGCAUACUCAUACACAUACACACAAAGCUUCAUGCAGGAGGACCCCAAAUCCCUUGCAAGAAGAAGUCACUUUCCCUGACACUACCACCUACCCACCCCCGGAAAGGACCCCUGAGUCCCAGACAGGCAGCAGCAACGGGCCCAUCUUCAUGUAUGUUCUUGUAGAAGUCAACAGCGAGGCAAAGAUUCAGGGGGCAGAUAGUUUGUUGGGAGAUGGUUCCAGAAAGGGGGAAGGAGUGGGGAGCUGAGACAGGGAGGGAGAAAACUCAGUACAGAGGAACAAGGAGUGGGCCAGGUCUAUGGGGGGCAGGGCUGGGGAUGCUGUGGGGAGGACACCUCCACACCAGCCUGCAGGAGGAUGGGGAAGGAGGGCAAUGGAGCCACAGCCCCAGCCCCAUUGGGAAAGGGUUGUGGGGGCAGAGACCCUGAAAGCAGCAGGGCUUCCAGGCAGGAGGCUGUCAGCCUGCUGGGAACUGCUGACAGCAGCCCAGGUGACCUCAGGGAUGGCCAAGGUUGGGAGGGCACCUGCUCCAGGCACUGGAGAACAGCAUGUGUUCAGGGACCUGUACAGGGUCCCAGCAUGAGUCAGUGGCAGUGCCCUAACCCAACACGGGGCUUCAUCCUCCAUAGCAGGUGACAGUGCCCUGACCCCAGGCCCGGCUCCCUUCUUUUCUGCAGGUGAUAGCACCCUGACCCCCAGCUCUGGGCUCCUGUCUCUCCAUAGGAGGAAGCCUUAAUUUUAGCACCAAGUUUAAAGACCCAGCACCUGCAUAUCAUGUCGACGGCCCUCCCCUCUGUCCCUGGAGCCCUGCUCCCCGACUCCCUGGGCCUCACUGUAUCCUGUCCAUUCUCUGUGGCUGUGGCAUUGCUUCCUGGGUGAGGCCGUUCAUCACUCCCUGAAGCUCAGGUGGCCAGAGGCAGGCUCUGAUGCAGGUCUCUCCUUCACCUGGUCUAGCUCCUGCAGGCAUGAAGGAAUCCCUGUGCAAUGGGACCCCCCGAUCCUAUUGCUCCUGCAAAUUGCUGUCUUGGCAUUUGGGGUCAGAUAUCUGCCCUCACGGAAGCUGACUGUUAACUGCAGGCCUCAGCUUCAGACCAAGAAGGAAAUGAAGCCAGCCAAGGGGUGUUUCUGCCUCUUCAGUGGGUGUCCUAGCCAGGGAUUUCCAUGAGUCCCCUGUCCUUACAUGGCCUGCUGCCUGUGCCUGGCCUUGUCUCGGAUCUGACUUGUUUCCACCCCAUCCCUUGUUUCCCCAUCCAGUGCAAAGCAUCUGUGCGACUUGGGGUCUUUGACCUGGUGCUACACCUUAUGGAAGCUGGGGAGGGACCAAAACCAGAUGCAGAGCCUCCCAGUCGGGGCUGGAGCCUGGGAAUGCAGGAAGGUCUCUGGACUUUUCCAUCUCAAUUGGCCACUUAGGAAGCAUACAAAGAACAGGACCACACAGGUACACACAUGCCCACACACACAGCUCACCACAUGCUCGCAUACACACAUGCGCACACACACACACUCCAACACACGCACACACAUCCCCAUAUGCACACAUACACACGUGCAUGCAUAUACACAUGCACACAUGACACACAGACAUACACACACACGUGCGCGUGCACACACACACACACACACGAAGCUGGCCUUUCUGGCAAACAUCAGCUGUCUCAUGGGGAAAGCAGCUGCCAUGGGGAUGGGAGGGCCUGGCUGGGGAAGAUGUUGGCCACGGGCGGGAGUCUCUCUCAGCUGUGAGAAAGUUCCCUCCUCUGAGUUGCUCUAAAGUUAGGAAUAGAGCCUGCUCCUUCCCUUUGACAGGUGUCCUGAGGUCAGUGCUAAGGUUGUUCAAGGAAAGUAAGGAACGACAGGGCAGAAACGUCAAGGGAGGAAGGAAAGGAAGAAAGGGCGGAUCUGAAGGGAGCCCUGCCUGCAAGAUGCCAGGGGUAACACCUUCCUCCACAGGGCCAGACCCGAGGGUUUCUGGGCCGUGACUCUGGCUAAGCCCUUCACGGCUCUGGGCUGCAAAAGGAGGAUCACAGCACCUCCAGUGGGUGGGCAGGAUUACUUAAGAUGACGCAGGACAGCGCCCAGAGCAGCUUGGUAAGCGUCCCUCCCAUGAUCCACCCACCCUCACAGGUGCACACCCCUCUACAGUUUGCAAAGCCCUGGAACUUGCAUGUCCUCAUUUGAUGCUCACUCCUGUCCUCAGACAGGAGCCCAGGCCAGCGUCUCAACCCAUUUAACAGAUAAGGAGAGGGAGGUUCCCAGGGCGAUGACAUUAUUAACUCUGCACACGUCAGAUCUCGAUUCCCCAAGAGACGCUGUCGGCUCUGGUCCCACGGGUGGGCCCGCUCCCCUGCAGACACACUCACCUUAUUCCUGAUUUUGACGCGCUGGUACAGGUGCUCCGGGAACGCCUUCCGCGGAAUGAAGCGGCCCAUGCCCUUGUUGACAUUGAUGUUUCCGUCUUCAAAGACGAUCUUGCCCUGGCUGAUGACCACUAGUGGGGAGCCGUGGCACUCCAUACCCUCGAAGAUGUUGUACUCCACUGCCUGCACCAACAGCCUCAGCGUUACUUCCCAGGAUUUUCUCUGCUCCAAACGAGCUGUUCAUAACAGCGAUUUUGCCUAACAUUAUAUCAUAAGCGUGUUCCAAUGUUUUUUUUCUCUCUAAAAAUACCUUUUAUUGACUGUGUAAUAUUCCACUGUAUGGUCCACAGUGUAUAUAACCAACAACUCACCGUUGCGCAUGUAGGCUGCUGGUGGCUUUCUAUAAUCACAUCAAUAUUGUUCUGGGAGGAAGGGGGUCCCCCUGGGGUUAUGCAAUGUGGCUGCUUUGACUAUACUGGACAUAAA